UUUGACUCGGCUCUUGGCUUUACAGGUCUCCAAUGGGUUAUCGGUUGUGUAAUUUAAUAAAUAUAGUUCGCAUGUUGAAAGGAAAUAUCAAAAAUUCAUGCCAAAGUCUUCAGGGUCUUCAGUGGAUCCUGUCUAAACACGAUAGAUUAUGCUCAUUUGGAAUAGGUAUGCUGUAUUUCGCGGACCAGACAUGAUUGAAUUGAAAGCACCACACAUUAGGGCCAACUUACUGAAGAUAUUUUUAACAAAUAGUGUUUUAUUGGCCAAGGAAAAAAAAAAUGUUUGAGUAGUGUGACAGAUUUAAAAGCUGCUGUAGAAACAGUCAUGCCAGGCAGUGGAGUGCACACCUAAAUGUGCAAAAAUAAAUUGCCUUACAACGUUCUGCAGGUAGAAUUCACUACUUGGUUCUGAACAAGAGCGUAGAUAUUUUUAUUGGCUAGGGGGGGGCUUAAGGAUUUUUCUCAACAUAUUUAUCAAUAUUGUUAUUAAAAAUAAAUUACAAAAUUAUACAUACAAUAAAACAAAAUUUUCAAAUAUUAAAUGCAAUAUAAUAAAGUUUAAAAAAUAUAAA